AGAAUUUUUCUCAAUGGGGGAAACCCUGAAGGCGCGACGCCGCGUGGAGGAUGAAGGUCUUCGGAUUGUAAACUCCUCUCAUUAGGGAACAAUGUGCAGACGUUAACUGCGUUUGCAUUGAUAGUACCUGAAGAGGAAGAGACGGCUAACUCUGUGCCAGAAGCCGCGGUAAUACAGAGGUCUCAAGCGUUGUUCGGAUUCAUUGGGCGUAAAGGGUGCGUAGGCGGUGGGGUAAGUCAGGUGUGAAAUCUCGGGGCUCAACCCCGAAACUGCACUUGAUACUGCCCUGCUAGAGUACUGGAGAGGAGAUUGGAAUUUACGGUGUAGCAGUGAAAUGCGUAGAUAUCGUAAGGAAGACCAGUGGCGAAGGCGAAUCUCUGGACAGUUACUGACGCUGAGGCACGAAGGCCAGGGGAGCAAAC
rnacentral:rRNA from 1 species